rnacentral:lncRNA from 1 species
AGAAGAAACUGUCAGUGCCAGUGAAGAAGAAAACGUGGGACACCAGCAGGCUGGGAAUGUGAAGCAGCAGGAAAAAUCGCAGCCCUCAGAGAGUCGCUGGCUGAAGUAUCUAGAAAAGGACUCCCAAGAACUGGAGCUGGCCUGACAUGGAAGGUGAAACAAGGCAGCAGCCCCUGCCUCCAGGAGAACUCUGCAGACUGCAGUGCCGGGGAGCUGAGGGGUCCUGGGAAGGAGCUAUGGAGUCCCAUCCAGCAGGUUACAGCCACAUCCUCUAAAUGGGCGCAAUUUGUCCUGCCACCUAGAAAAAGUUCACAUGUGGACAGUGAGCAGCCAAGGUCUCUUCAGAGGGACCCCAGGCCAGCUGGUCCAGCACAGGCUAAGCAAGGGACCCCCAGAGCACAGGCCUCAAGAGAAGGCCUCAGCAGGCCCACUGCCGCUGUCCAGCUUCCUCGGGCCACACACCCCGUCACAUCUGGGUCUGAGAGGCCUUGCGGGAAGACCUCAUGGGACGCAAGGACUCCCUGGGCAGAGGGUGGGCCCCUGGUCCUGGAGGCACAGAAUCCUCGACCCACACGACUAUGUGACCUCUUUAUAACUGGGGAAGACUUCGAUGAUGAUGUGUGAUCUGGGACUGGCAGGUUAUUAAUCGAGAUACACUUGUUAGGAGGGACAGGGUUCCCCUAAGGCACUUUUAAAGAUACUCUGUAAGAACCAUUAACAAUAAACUUACUGUCAAUCAUU